UGUUGCCUCGUGGAUCUCCUUGUGGAGUAUUUCAUUGGUUCCACAGCAGCCUGUUCUUCCUGGUUUCUCUGCUCCACCCGUCCACUGCACUACAGGUCUGUCUCAUCCACAAUCUCAGACUUGAUGAUUUCUUCGAUCACAUCCUCCAGCGUUACAAUGCCCAUCACUUCGUAGAAAGGGUCCCCCUCGCCUUCGCUGUUCACCCGCUGCACCACGGCCAGGUGAGACUUCCCUGCAUUUGUCAAAAAAAAA